UCAGAUUGAACGCUGGCGGCAUGCCUUACACAUGCAAGUCGAACGGCAGCACGGGGGCAACCCUGGUGGCGAGUGGCGAACGGGUGAGUAAUACAUCGGAACGUGUCCUGUAGUGGGGGAUAGCCCGGCGAAAGCCGGAUUAAUACCGCAUACGCUCUGCGGAGGAAAGCGGGGGAUCUUCGGACCUCGCGCUACAGGGGCGGCCGAUGGCAGAUUAGCUGGUUGGUGGGGUAAAGGCCUACCAAGGCGACGAUCUGUAGCUGGUCUGAGAGGACGACCAGCCACACUGGGACUGAGACACGGCCCAGACUCCUACGGGAGGCAGCAGUGGGGAAUUUUGGACAAUGGGCGCAAGCCUGAUCCAGCAAUGCCGCGUGUGUGAAGAAGGCCUUCGGGUUGUAAAGC
rnacentral:rRNA from 1 species